AAAUAAUUCAUUGUCAAUAAUGGAUACAUAUAGCUGAUCAUGCAAAUUCGUCGCUAAUGCUAUUUAGUGACAAAAAGAUACGUCGCUAAUAUUAGUCAUUAGUACCUUCCAAACACUAUUGAUAAGUGGAAAAAAAAUGAUCGUUAAAUCCUUUAUAUGCCAAUUCAAAUUACUCUUCCAACACUUCCAACAUUUAUAUAUAGUAUAGAUAUAGAUAUUUAUAUCACUUAAUUAUAAAAAAAGAUAAAUUUAGAAAUACAGGACAUCAUAA
rnacentral:misc_RNA from 1 species